UUUCUUCUCACUGAUGUUGCUUUAGCCUUGAAUCAUUUAGUAGAAUCUUCAAGAUGGUUGGUAAGGGUGCAUUCCUCACCUCCAAAGGCUUCAGCUGCCACAUGAUCCUAUCCUAGGACAUGACUCGAGAUUAUUGCCUACUGCAUAUUUCACACAUUAACAGUGUGCAUGUGAAUUAAAAUCCUGGCUUUGCAGUUGAUUCUCAGGCAUAAAAUCAUAUUCAAAAUGAGCAAUUGCAACAGUAAACAUCAAAACUAAUUUUUGAGUCCCAUAUAUAUCUAGAUGUGGCUCCAUCUUUAUUAUAGUUUUGGAAACUCCCCGACAGUCCACUUUUGAGCCCCAUGAUAUCUGGAGAUGAGGCCUUCCACCAUAGUGAUUACAGGGAAAGAGAAAACAGGAAUGGUAUAUUUGGUGCAGUUUAGUGGAAAAUUGGGACCUUUUGCUGGUCAAACCCUUAAUGAUAUAUGUGCUAUUUUGUUCGGUAUCGUUUAUCCAUCCUAAAUCAUUGCGACUUAUAUAAUUUAGCUCUUAUCUUAGAUUGAGUUUUGGGUCCUUUUCUUGUUAUUUCUUUCUUGUAAACUGCUUUCUAUUUUAAAAAAUACAUUGUCUAUGUCGAGGAGUUGAGCAGUAAAGGCAUUUGCCUCCAUCACCUACUCAAUCUGCUUUUGUCUGAUUCUAGUGUUCUGUUGUAAUUUCUUCAGGAUUUGAAAGUGUGUUGCAUUUGCAGGAUCCCAGGACAGAGAACAAUCCCUAUCUUGGUUUUAUUUAUACCUCAUUUCAGGAGAGGGCUACCUUCAUUUCCCAUGGGAAUACUGCCAGGCUUGCUAAAGAUCAUGGGGAUCUCAAUCUGGCCCAGAUAUGUGGAACAAUUGCAUCUGACGAGAAGCGCCAUGAGACUGCAUACACCAAGGUAGUGGAGAAAUUGUUUGAGGUAGACCCAGAUUACACUGUUCUGGCAUUUGCUGACAUGAUGAGGAAGAAGAUCACAAUGCCAGCUCAUCUGAUGUAUGAUGGCCGUGAUGAUAACCUUUUUGAGCACUUCUCAGCAGUUGCUCAACGGCUGGGUGUUUACACAGCCAAGGACUAUGCAGACAUACUGGAGUUCCUUGUUGCAAGGUGGAAGGUCGGUGAGCUAGCAGGUCUCUCUGGGGAAGGAAAUAAAGCCCAGGAUUUUGUCUGCACAUUAGCUCCAAAGAUUAGACAGCUCGAUGAAAGAGCUCGAGGGAGAGCCAAGAAAGCACCUGCUAUGCCUUUCAGUUGGAUCUACAACAGGGAAGUGCAGCUCUGAGCAUCAAACAAUAUAUUAUGGUUUUGUUGUUUAUGCAAGCAGUCAUCCUUUCUUUGCCAUUGGUUUGCUAUUCAUAAAAGAAGUUCCAUGCUUUGUUUUUCUUCUGUUCAAGUAUUGUAUGAGUCAUGAUGGGGGCUGUAGAUACUCCUCACGCCAUCGUAAAUAUCAUCAUAUAAGCAGGUGCUUGAUUCAUGUCUGUUGUGUUUUUCUUUUUCAUGGACAAGUUCUGUUGUUUAUCAUAGUUGGAUAGUCUAUGCAUAUGGGAACAUAGCCUUUGUUCUUUUCGUGUGUGCUCGUUGAUUUAGAAUUUCUGUCAUUUGGAUUCUCUAUAUGCAUCUAGACACAUUUUUUACCAAUUGCAACUACCAUUCACUAUCUAGAUUUUAAUCAAUCCUACAUGUCAUGACUUCAUGACUGAAUGAUGUGGUGCAUGCAGCGACUGGCAGCUCAUCUCAGCCGACCUCAGUAAAUUCUGCUAGAAUUUGUGCCAGUCAGAACCAUCUCACUUUUCAAUUGUUUGCUUUUGUUAUAUCAGCACCACAAUGUGUUAUGUAAUUCUGUACAAGCAUCUUAAAUUAUUGCAAGCACAUCAAUUUCCAAAAGAUUGCUUUUGUUUGAUUGUCACUAGUUUGGUGCAUUGAUGACCAGUCUAAUUAAAGCCACUGCUUGAAUCUUUUAAACAUCUGGCUAUUAGUGGUCUGAAGCUUCUAACAUGAUUGCUAAGUUUCAGCAAAGCAUAUUGCAAUCUUAUAAGUCACAUAUGAUGCUUCUGUGCUAUCUGUUAAUCCUCUUUACUGUUAGUCUUAUUUAAAUGCUAUAGCUUUUGUUAUUGUCUUUUACCAGCUAGUUUCUACAAAAUUCCUACUUGACUAUUUUAUCAACUUAUGUGAGGUUUUGGAUGGAGGGCAGACCUCCAUUCCCACCAACUUGUUUUGGAAGAACUUGCUGCAAGAAGUUAAAGGAUAUAUUCUUACCCUGUAUAUGUUGGGCUCAAUCAAAUGCUUUUGACAUGCAUUGCAGAUUCUUAUUAAUGUCCUUAGAAGUUAUUAUUGUUAGGAAUCAACAUUACCUGUCAUAACCGAAAAGUCCUAUAAAAUAAAUCUAGAUACAUUAUUAUGAGUUUUCUGCAUUCUAUUACCUGAAUCUUAUAGAGGAAUCAUAAGUAGCUAUAUUUUUCUAUUUGGAUUGGAGGAUCAUAAAAAACUUGUUUGUCCAUAUUCUUGGAGUUCAUUGCAAGAAAUGUUUCUGAAGUUUAUAUACUUUAUAGGACAUCUGAACUUACCUGAUACAUUGGUUAUGACAGGUUUGCCGUCAUAGCCAAACUUCAGCAACCAUUUAGCUUUCUGAAAUCAUCACUCUUGUGUUGUCUAGUAGUCUAAGACAUGCAUUUCAUAGGAAAUGUUGCAAGCUGCUUAAAGUAAUCCUGCUUUCAUUGAGUUCAUCCUCCUUGUGCUAUUUCCUUGAUUAGCAAAUUGCCAUUAUUGCUUCACCCUGCAGAGUAGCAGCACAAUGCAUCUUUACUGUAAACAACAGGUUGAAUGGCCACUGGUUAUGUUUCUUAGAAUGCUUCAAGAGGUGGGAAAUGCCUUGUAUUCCAGCUUACCCCAAUCAAUUCUCAUUUGGCUUCAUCACUUGCUAAGAUUGAGAUAUCAUAACAUGAGAUGUAAUUUUCCAUUGUGAUAUCUUCUCAGUACAACUCAGUUUGAUUCUGUGUCUUUUCAUUUACUUGAUCUGAGGAACAUACAAGAUGUAACAAAUACCAAAGAGGAUUGUGAUUUCAUUACAUGAGGUUCAAUUUACAUAUGAUCACUUGUAUCUAUGAUAAGGUUGUUGAAGACUCCUCACAUAUACAUAUUGUAAUGUCUAUUGAUGUUUUGCAUUAGUUUCUAAAUAUCACCACAAUAUUAAGGUGUCUAUAAAAACUUUAAUAGUAUAUGGUAAGAUUCUGAGUUCAAAUCUCCCUUUUUAUCACUUUCUUUUUGUAAACUUAAGAAAAACUCAUCAUAAUAUAGAAAAGCAAAAUAAAAUAUUCAUUUUAUUAUGAUCAUGAAUGCUGUUAGGUGCUGCCAUGAGAAUGUUGAUGUCUAACUAGUAAAGGAAAAAAAUGUUUUGGGUAAGCAUAAUCUGGGAUGAAAUCUAACUCCUUAAAUAUAACCAGAAGUUUGAAGUCUCUCUCUCUUUUGCAUAAUUAUAGUAGAUAAUUAUAUUCUAAUUGUUAUAGUAGAUAAUUAUGUUAAGAGAAUAAGUUCUAAUUGUUAUACCUACAAUAACAUCUCUAAAUAAAUAAUCAGAGCUCUGCCAAAUAUAUUAGGAGAUAAGAGCAGAUAAAUGCAAAUGCCCAAUCUUAUAAUUCAUUAGCCCUUACAAUCCUUCACCAGUUACAAUUUUUUUGAUUUCCUUUAUAACACACCAACUAAUUUUAUAUCGAAAAUAAUUGAUUCUAAAAUUGAAUCUGAUGAGUAUACUAUUAUCAAUCUCAAUUUAAAUAUUUUAAUAUGUAAGUGAAUUAAAUUAUAAUAUUAUUAUCAUUUUUGACUUAAAUAUUUUGAUCGAUGAUUUAAAUCAGUUAAAAUUGAUACAUCAAUUAACUUAAGUUGUCCAAUAAUCUUUCACUCGGUUCGAUCAAUCCAUACGAUCCUCCACGAGUAACUCAAGGUUUGAUUAUACGACUCCAUUAUUUUUCUUAUUUAACAUGUUUUAGUGAGAAAAAAACUCUAUUUUCGUGUGCUAUUCUCUUUUUACAGUCCUAUCUUCAUAAUUUAUAAAGAAAAAAAAAAAAGGGACUUAACUAUUGAAAUUGUAAAGCAAUGAAAAUUUCCACAUGCAGAUUUAAUAUUUGAAUGGUAGAGGAGCGGACAGAAGGGUGAAAUCGUCAAUUCAUGUGCCAUUUUGCCCACGUCACCAAUUGGGGCUCUAUUAAAUACCUCUCGCCUUCUCUCUCUCUCUGUCUCUCUCUCUCUCACUCGGCGCGACAAAGGCGAAGAAAGAGAGACCAGUGGAGCAGAGCUCAUGCCAACUUGGUCUUUCUUUUCCCUUGUUUCUUGUCUAUGAAUCCCUUUGACAUUCUUGAUUCUCCAUGUGUAGACAGCAUUAGGGUUGUUUCCAACAUCAAGAAGUCCUUUGUGUUUGUAAAUGCUCUGUCAUUCUAUAUUUCAUCUUAAGUUGGUACCAUUCUAGAGAAGGAUCAGUUGCCACUUUCCGUCAGCAAAGAAGGAUCAAAAGCAUGUAGAUGGGAAGGUUCUGAUACUAACUGAUGUCUCUCCUGGUGAUUUACAGAAGCAAAAUGUAAUUUAUAAAAAAUAUGUGCUUAGCUACAUGGAAUAUCUACUAGUUGUUUGAAUCGACAACAGAAGUUAUCAUUGCAAAAAAAGGCAGAUUAGAACCUGAUUGCCAAAUCAGGAGCAUCUUAUAGAUUCCACCUUGAUGUCUUUCUAAUAUACCCUAUUUUUCUUCACACUUUAUUCCUCAUUGAUAUCUUUCUCCAUUGUGUGGUGUAUGAGGGCUUAUUCAAUGCUCUCUAUCUGUCUAUCAUUCAUUGUCUUCAACAAUUGUUUCCUGCAUCAACUUGGCCACUCGAGCCUUAUUUUUCCUGAAUUUUAGAACCGAAUGAGUGCAAAAGAAAAAUACUAAAAGAGGAACAGAGGUGGACCAUAGGAGAAAAAGAGAACUAGUAGAAGAGAUCUUAAAGACUAAAAGUGCUAGAGAGGGGGAAUGAUUAUAGGGUAAGGUAAGUCAUAAUUGUUAAUUUGGUUGAUCAGCAGUUAGUUUGGGUUGGUUGAUUUUUUGUGAAAGGCAUUUGGGAAAGUCUCAGAGCUUGUAGGAAACUAUAUGAUAUCUUCAACUUUGUUUUGGUAAAUACAAAAUUAGGUCCACUUCUAGGACACACAUGGAAUUUUUGCUCCAACAUCAAGAAGACCUUUGUGUUUGUAAAUGCGCUGUCAUUUUUCUAUUUCAUCUAAAGUUCCUACCAUUCUAGAGAACGAUCAGUUGCCACUUUUCCGUCAGCAAAGAAGGAUCAAAACUCACCUCAGCAAAGAAAGAUCAAAACUCAAAAUCAUGUAGAUGGGACAGUUCUGACACUAACUGAUGUGUCUCCUGGUGAUUUACAGAAGCAAAAUCUAAUUAAUUUAUCAAAUAUAUGUGCUUAGCAACAUGGAAUAUCUACUAGCUGUCUGAAUUGACAACAGAAGUUAUCAUUAGAAAAAAGGCUGAUUAGAACCUCAAUGCCAUAUCAGGAGCAUCUUAUAGAUUCAACAUUGAUGCAAAGAAAAAUAGUUGAUGAGCUUUCCCUUUCUAUUAGAAUUCAUAACUUAAUCAUGUAUAUUCUUUUUCCUUGCCAUGAAACAAGACUCUUCUGUAGUGUAUUUCUUUAUCAAUUUCUUCUUUUCUUUAUUAUUCAUACAUGUAGAUUAGUUUAAGAACAUCAAUAUAAUUUUCUUGGACAGAUAUUUUUGGUGUUGCAAUUAGAUUUUAAUCUUCAGUUAUUUUAUUUGAAAAAAAUGGUGCUUUUGAGCAUUGCCUUCUUCAAGUAUUCUGAUUAUUCAGUUGGUAAUUCUUGGAUUGCUGCAACUGUUCUGUUUUCUUGUUACAGCCUCAGUUUUUGGGUAUGCUUAUCCAACUCCCAGUUUUAUGUGAUCCACAAGUCAAAUUGUUGACUAAUUCUAGUUUAAAUCUACAAAUGCAUUAUGGAUACACAUCUUGAUAAUGUUAAUGAUACUUUCAUUUAUUGGCUGUGAAUGUAGUCUAUGAUAUUUUUGGCACUGUGAUCUGCAGUCAACAAUCAAUGUGUUUUAAACAUUAUACUUGUGUGUAUUGUUCUAGGGUUAAAACUCCAAAAAAGCUAUUCGGUCCACAUGAGACACAUAUUGAAGUCACUCACUCCAUGCCACCUCAGAAAAUUGAAAUUUUCAAAUCACUAGAGGACUGGGCAAAAGAUAAUUUAUGGGUCCAUCCGAGGCCUGUUGAGAAGUGUUGGCAACCACAGGAUUUUCUUCCAGAUUCUUCAUCAGAGGGAUUCUAUGAGGAGGUUAUGGACCUGAGAGAGUGGUCUAAGGAGCUCCCUGAUGAUUUUUUUGUUUGCUUGAUAGGAGAUAUGAUUACUGAAGAAAAUGUUCCUACAUACCAAACAAUCAUAAACACCAACGACAGUGUCAGAGUUCUGUUUCUAGUGUCAGAGUCAUAAACAGCAGCCUACUCAAUGUGCUUUUGUCUGAUUCUAGUGUUCUGUUGUAAGUUCUUCAGGAUUUGAAGGAGUGUUACAUUUGCAGGAUUCCAGGACAGAGAACAAUCCCUAUCUUGGUUUUAUUUAUACCUCAUUUCAGGAGAGGUGUACCUUCAUUUCCCAUGGGAAUACUGCCAGGCUUGCUAAAGAUCAUGGGGAGCUCAAUCUGGC
rnacentral:lncRNA from 1 species